AGUGAGGAAGGGGGUGACACAAUGACAGAGUGAGGGAGGGGGUGACUAGUGACAGAGUGAAGGAGGUGGUGACUGUCACUAGUCACCCCAUACCUCCCUCUGUCACUAACCACCUCCCUCACUCUGUCACUAGUCACCCCUUCCCUCCCUCACUCUGUCACUAGUCACCCCCUCCCUCUCUCUGUCACUAGUCACCCCCUUCCUCACU